AUAUUUCCUUUGAGUCGUAAAAGUUAUAAAGCCCCCUGCAUUAAACACUUAAUGUUCAUAAAUAUCGACACUAUCUCAUCUACUUCUCUCCCUUUGUCAAAUAUAAAAAAGGAGAGAACUAGAAGAAAAAAAUGCACAAAUAUAAUCCAAGCUAACGCAAAAUAUGAAACUAAAUGUCAAACUUAAUGAAUCAUGAACAUAACCAUACACACCACAUAUAAGAAUUAAC
rnacentral:lncRNA from 1 species